GGGACCGUGGUGUAGGGAAAAGCGUGAUUGUCUCUCACCCAGUCGGCCUGGGUUCGAUCCCAGACGGUCCCG
rnacentral:tRNA from 1 species